CUACGGGCUGCUGCAGUAAGGAAUAUUGCGCAAUGGAGGCAACUCUGACGCAGCCAUGCCGCGUGCAGGAAGAAGGCCUUAUGGGUCGUAAACUGCUUUUAUUUAGGAAUAAACCCCCGAACGUGUUCGGGGCUGAAGGUACUAAGCGAAUAAGCACCGGCUAACUCCGUGCCAGCAGCCGCGGUAAUACGGAGGGUGCAAGCGUUAUCCGGAUUUAUUGGGUUUAAAGGGUGCGCAGGCGGGCUAUUAAGUCAGUGGUGAAAUCCCGGGGCUCAACUCCGGAACUGCCAUUGAUACUGGUAGUCUUGAGUUUGGUUGAAGUGGGCGGAAUGUAGCAUGUAGCGGUGAGAUGCAUAGAUAUGCUACAGAACACCAAUCGCGAAGGCAGCUCACUAAGCCAAAACUGACGCUCAUGCACGAAAGCGUGGGGAUCAAACAGGAUUAGAUACCCCAGUAGUC
rnacentral:rRNA from 1 species